UGGAGUUGACACGGGAGCUGCCUUAAGGCGGCUGAGAGGAGACAUACAAGUCUCGACCGAUGGAACGUGACCGGGUAAUGCCGUUCGUCACGGAAUUGUCGCUCUUACAUA
rnacentral:ncRNA from 25 species